GUGAUAUUCUGGCAUAGCUUUUGGAUAUCUCAUUUACAGGUGCUCCCGUCUAGUCUGUUGUCAUGAUGGUCUGUUUUUCUGUUUUAAGUUCCACCCCUAAUUAGGGGAUGUUUUCUUUUUCUUUUACUUUUCUGCCUUUUUUUUUGGUGGGCGCGGGGGGUGGGGGUGGGGGGGUGUAUAUAAGUCUCCUUGUUGAUUAGAGCACUAACUUUUAGGUACUAAAGGCAUAUAGCAUGCAUUUUGGGGUGACUUUCUCUUUAUUGUUGCUUGAUGUUUGCUUCAUAUCUUUAUUAUCAUCGAUUUCUGGAAAGGCCAUUUGGUUCAUUGAUAUAUGAUAAAGUUCAGCAAUUUAUUUUUGUUCAGUAUUGUGUUCAUACAUUUAGGAGAUCAUAAUAUUAAUUAUAUACAUUCAGCUAUUGCUCCUAAUUGUGGAUGAUUGCAUGCUAUUGCUUUCUUGCAUUUGCUUUCAGCAACAGUUGGCUUCAAUUAGUUGCAUCACCAGGAUAGGUGAAGUACCAUUCCAAGCUUGAACCUCUAUUCAUGAACUCCACUUUGGCUUCCAUAACAUUGCUACUUUUAUUUUUUUCAAUUAAUUACUGCAGUUCACCUAUUUAUCAUUAGUUGGCAUGUGAAACUUUUGCCUGCUCAUCCCACAAUCAUAUAACUAUCAGAUCCUCGCUCAAGAGGAUUCUGCAGGUGUUCUUGAUGGACAAUAGGAGACCUGAAGGCCAACUUUGUUAAUGGAAUGCACAUGGAAGUGACAUGGGUUGUAUAUAACAUUGGCUCGCCCCUACUUGCCCACUGAUUUGUGGAAGCCACAGUUAAGGUUGAAGAGCAGAUACUGCGGAUCCAGAAAACAGGCAUGGAAUACUUGUAUCAUUUUCGAUACCUCUGAGCACAUUCAGGUCCAUAUCUACUGAAUCUGAAGUGAAUUAUAAGAGUUGGACAUGUGAAGCCAGAUUCCACAAAAGCGAAACCAGUGGAAGUGCGAUAGAGUCCCCACCUCCAAACUGAACACUUACCUUUUCUUGUUCUGCCUCUCUCUCUCUCUCUCCACACUUUUUUGAAAGGCAUGUGCAGAGCACAUGUGAAAUACUAGCUAGGGAUAAUGACUAGGAGGGAUUUAUAUAGUUUCUGCAGGGUUUAGAUUGGAGAGACAUUAGAUAAAAGGAUUUGAGAGAAGAGAUGAGACAUGAUUAGAAAACUUAAGAAUGAUGAGGCUGAGAGAUCUUUUGAAGGAAGAAUUAAUAUUUCAUUCAAUAAACCUAUUUCAUAUUUAUUUGUAACUCUGCUGUAGUCUGUUGUACGAAGACUAUAAUAAGUUUUCUUGAUCAUGAUCUCAUUUACAUCCCAGUUUCAACAUAUAACCAAUUCAGUUUUGUAACUAAUCCUAGUCUGAAUAGGUAGAUUUCUCAAAUCUACUCUUCUUAAAAGAGGUAAAAGAUCAAGAAACACAUAUCCUUUAGGACCAUCAGCAACUAUUUUUUCAAAUAACUUCCAUUUGUUUCCUUUAUUAUGUAUUCAAAAAGGCAUAGAUAAAAAUGUCGUAAAACUAUUUUGAGCAUGCACAUUGCUUAUGCAUGAGAAUAUAAAACCAAUAUGUUAAAUGUAAUGAUUGUUUACAUGGAAAUUGAGUUCAUUAUUGGAGACCCUCAUAAUGAUGAGAGUGCUAGAUGGCGAGGGCAUCAAGCCAACAUUUGGUUGGAUGAAGAAAGUAUUGAUUAAUUAAAAUUCUAACUUAUAGAAACUUUGGUCAUGAACAAGAUGAAACUUUUUAUUAGUUAAGUUUUAUCAAGAAUUGAAACUAUCCAAGGGUCAGGUUUUCCAGCGCUCGCUCUAACCCACCCGUUUGCCAACGAAGAUAGCAUGGCGAAAGAGGAAACUGGGGUUGUAUGCAAAGCAUAUUUCAGAUCGAAGAGACGGUUGUCGUCAUGUUUUAGUAAGAAUGGAAAUAUCUUAGAAUUCAGUUAUGUUCAGUUAUUUCAAGCACUAUUAUAGGUUGGAGUAUCUAUUGGUGGAGAUUACUGAGAGAUCAUUGGAUACAAGAUUUCCCCCCAAUAUCAACGGUAUUGUGGAAAAAAGUGAUUGAAUGUUUCUGAAAUAUUUCGGAAAUUCAAAAUUCUAAUAUUUUUAUAAAGUAGAUAUAAAAACACUUACUAGGAUAUAUUGAUGCAGAGCAUUAAGUUUUUGGAAUUUGGAAGCUUUAUCUAUGUUAUAUCAUAGUAAGUAUUUGAAUUUUGGAACAUUUCAUCAUGAUUUGAACAGUCACUUCCCCAAAUUACCCUUUAUCUGAAACAAAAAUCUGUGUUUGAUGUUGCUCCUAUCUCUGCUGGUGGAUAAUGUCUCAACUGGAAAUUAAGUUUUAACCAUCCUGUUAUCUGUGAUUUUCAUCUGCUUGAAAAGGUGAAUAAAUUUUGCAUGGUUUACAUCAUAGUAUUUUUUUCUUAAUCCAACAAGAGCAUGUGGAAACUGUCUUCAUUUGGAUGGAGUGUCUGUCAGUUCAAUCAUGGUAUAUGGAGACAACAAGGCCCAUGCUUCAAGAAAGGAGAGCAAGGAGAGCUUAUAAUGUUGGAGAGGUGAUAGAACAUUUUUUUAGAGAUGCAUGGGAAGUACUGCAAGAGUCCAUUUCAGUCUAUUUUCCUAUUCUCUAGUUACUGAAUCUAUUUCCUUAACAUUAGUUACUUUAAUCAAUUGAAGGACCAGAGUUAUGUGUUAUUGGUUUAACCUUCAGAACUAGCAAAUUGGGCUGUUCAUUGCCCAAAUAAUGUAGAAACUAAGCUGAAGUGAGAGGACACUUGACAUUCAUUCUCAUUGUUGAUAUUGAUUUUGGGGGAGUGGUUGCUAGGUUUUCUACUUUCAAGGAUCUUACUAUGCUAGAUCAUUCUACGAAGUGCUUGUAUUUUGGGGCCCACAAAUCUAUUGAAGUUGGUGCAGAAUCCCAAUGUCCCUC